rnacentral:rRNA from 1 species
GACGAACGCUGGCGGCGUGCUUAACACAUGCAAGUCGAGCGGUAAGGCCCUUUCGGGGGUACACGAGCGGCGAACGGGUGAGUAACACGUGGGUGACCUGCCCUCAGCUCUGGGAUAAGCCUGGGAAACCGGGUCUAAUACUGGAUAUGACUCCAUGACGCAUGUUGUGGGGUGGAAAGCCUUGUGCGGCUGAGGAUGGGCCCGCGGCCUAUCAGCUUGUUGGUGGGGUGAGGGCCUACCAAGGCGACGACGGGUAGCCGGCCUGAGAGGGCGACCGGCCACACUGGGACUGAGACACGGCCCAGACUCCUACGGGAGGCAGCAGUGGGGAAUCUUGCGCAAUGGGCGAAAAGCCUGACGCAGCGACGCCGCGUGAGGGAU